rnacentral:lncRNA from 1 species
GGCGGUAAUUGAUAUGUUUCUUGGCGGAAAUAACUGUAGUUGCAGCAAUAGUUGGCCAAUCCUUUCUUUCUCACUCUUUUGAGUUUAAAAUUGGAAUGCUAAGAACGUAAUUGACCUAUUUCUUGGUGAGGCAAUUGUAGAUGCAGCUGUGGUAGGUAAAUCAUUUCUAUUGUUCAUUAAUUUUAAUUCUCGAAAACUAGAAUGUCUUGUCCAGUUUCUAGAUGGUACAAAUGUUUUAUUUGCGUUUUUCACACUGAUCACCAUGUUUGGUAUGAAUUUGCUGAUUAUUGGUUUUUCUUUGCUAGGGAACUGAACUGGCUAUAAGUUGUCUUCAUCACCACUUGCCCACAGUGAGCCAACCACUUCUUUCUCUUGUCAGUUGAGUUUAAAAUGGAAUACUCAGAAUGUUAUUGACCCAUUCCUUUGCGAGGCAAAACUAUUGAUUCAGCCGUUGUGGGUAAAUCCUUUCUCAUUAUUUUUUAAUUUUUAAUUUUUUUAAAAUUCUGAGAAUGUAAAUGCUAGUUUCUAGAUGUUACUAUUUCUUAUUUGAGUUCACUUGAUAUGUUUAACAUGUGAUUGAAAUGUUUCUUCUUACAAGAUAAUUCGUAAUUGGCACCGCUCAUAAGUUAUCCUUUCUCCCUUUCCUUCUUUCUCUCUCUUUUGAGUUUAAAUUAGAAUGCUAAGAAUGUGAUUGAGCCAUUCCUUAGUGAGGCAACUGUAGUUGCAGCCGUGGUGGGUAAAUCGUUACUAUUUGUUCUUUAAUUUUAAAUUUCAAAAACUGAGAAUGUAAUUAUUCAGUUUUUAGAUGUUACAAUAUUUUUUAUUUAAGUUCACAUGACAUGUUGAGAAUGUGAUUGAUAUAUUUCUUGGCUAGGGUAACUGUAGUUUCACCCACAAUGAGCCAACCAUUUCUUUCUCUCUGUCAUUUGAGUUUAAAAUUGGAAUACCAAGAAUGUGAUUGACCCAUUCCUUGGCGAGACAACUAUUAUUGCAGCCGUUGCGGGUAAAUCCUUUCUCUUUGUUUUUUAAUUUUAAUUCUUUAAUUUUGAGAAUAUAAAUUUCUACGUUUUAGAUGUUAUAAUAUUUCUUAUUUGAGUUCACUUGAUAUGUUAAAAUGUGAUUGAUAUGUUUUUUGGCGGAUAUAAUUGUAGUUGCAGCCAUAGUGGGCCAAUCCUUUCUCUCUCUCUUCUGAGUUUAAAAUUGGAAUGCUAAGAAUGUGGUUGACCCAUUCCUUGGCGUGGCAACUGUUGUUGCAGCCGUUCUGUGUAAUUAUUCUCUUUGUUUUUUUAUUUUAAUUCUUUAAUUCUGAGAAUAUAAAUGUCUAAUUUUUAGAUGUUACAAAAUUUCUUAUUUGAGUUCACAUGAUAUGUUGAAGUGUAAUUGAUAUGUUUCUUGGCGGAAAUAACUGUAGUUGCAGCAAUAGUUUGCCAAUCCUUUCUCUCUCUCUUUUGAGUUUAAAAUUGGAAUGCUAAGAACGUAAUUGACCUAUUUCUUGGUGAGGAAAUUGUAGAUGCAGCUGUGGUGGGUAAAUCAUUUCUAUUUGUUCUUUAAUUUUAAAUCUCGAAAACUGAGAAUGUAAUUGUCCAGUUUCUAGAUGUUACAAUAUUUUUUAUUUGCGUUCACAUAACAUGUUGAGAAUGUGAUUGAUAUGUUUCUUUGCUAGGGUAACUGUAGUUUCACCCACAGUGAGCCAACCACUUCUUUCUCUCUGUCAUUUGAGUUUAAAAUUGGAAUACUAAGAAUGUGAUUGACCCAUUACUUGGCGAGGGAACUAUUGUUGC